rnacentral:rRNA from 1 species
UACGUAGGGUGCAAGCGUUGUCCGGAAUUAUUGGGCGUAAAGAGCUCGUAGGCGGUUUGUUGCGUCGGCUGUGAAAUCCCGAGGCUCAACCUCGGGUCUGCAGUCGAUACGGGCAGGCUAGAGUUCGGUAGGGGAGACUGGAAUUCCUGGUGUAGCGGUGAAAUGCGCAGAUAUCAGGAGGAACACCGAUGGCGAAGGCAGGUCUCUGGGCCGAUACUGACGCUGAGGAGCGAAAGCGUGGGGAGCGAACAGG